UACGAAGGGGGCUAGCGUUGCUCGGAAUUACUGGGCGUAAAGCGCACGUAGGCGGCUCUUUAAGUCGGGGGUGAAAUCCUGGAGCUCAACUCCAGAACUGCCUUUGAUACUGAGGAUCUUGAGUAUGGGAGAGGUGAGUGGAACUGCGAGUGUAGAGGUGAAAUUCGUAGAUAUUCGCAAGAACACCAGUGGCGAAGGCGGCUCACUGGCCCAUUACUGACGCUGAGGCACGAAAGCGUGGGGAGCAAACAGG
rnacentral:rRNA from 1 species